ensembl:lncRNA
AUGCUUGCAUGUGGGGCCUUCCCUUUUGGACAGACCUCCAGGAGAUAUGUUCAGGACAAGGCGAUGGUGUGGGCAGCACCUGCUGGAGGUAAUGGGGCAGGAAGAAGGAGCAGAGAGAGCACUCUGGAUCUUCCCUCAUUCCUAAGGGUUGACAGCAGGACACAUCUCCAGCACAAGUCCUCGUUGUGCUCCUUGACUCGGGGGCAACAUGACUUACAGGAAGAAAAAAAUAUAGACAGACAUCUUUAGCCCUUCACGAGAAGAUAGCUGCUGGCUGGCCUGGUGGGAAGCGACGUGCAAAGGAGAAGUAAAGCAAGAUAAAAGCUCUGCCAGCAUGUCACCGCGAGUGCUUUUGUAGAAACAGUACGAGUACGAUGAGCAAACCUUUGACCGCCUAUUGGAAACAGAUUUUUGUCAACACAGAAGCAAUCCCUUUGGAACAAGAGCCCUGACCAAAGCUGGGCGUCAGAGAAGGACUUACAGCGAGUUGUGGGGAGGAAGGAAACCCGCCAGUGGGACAGACAGCAUUGCCUUUUGUUUUAGUUUGUAGCGCUGAUUGUUGACUGCUUUUUGAUUUCACAAGAAUCUCUGGAUUUUGUCAACUUCCUUCAGAGAUUUUGCUGGGAAAAAAAAUGGUAACUGUGCUUAAUGUUCUCCUUUCUCAACAAAACCACUCAACGUUUUCAUUCAAAUCAAAAUUUUCCUUGGGCAGCAAUGCAUGUUCCUCAACCAGCAGCAUAAACGCAUUGGGCACUGCAUUACUCUCUAGAUAUUUGUAUUCCAGCAGCAAGAACUCAGGUCACAGUCUUUUUCUGCUGGAUCUCACGGAGCAAGCGACGACUUUACUCUGAAGACUUUGUAAUCAGAAUGGAAAAGACAGGGGACAAGAGAAAGGAAGAAAAAAAUAUUAUAAAUGUGCUUUAACAGAUGGGGCACUGAGGUGGCAGAAGAUGAAGUGAUUCCUUUGCCGUCAUAAUCAUAGGAAAUCUAAGCCAAAAUGAAGAACUAAAUCCAUCCCUCUUGGAAGGAUCAGCACAUAUCUUUAACCACAGCCCAUCCUUUCCCUCCAGUGCUGUUUAGUUCUUUGUCAUUUGCGAGGGGAUGGCACUUGGCACAGUGCUACUUGCUGAGGAUCUGUCACCUUACAGGGACGUAUCUUGGGUGAUUCAUCAAGUAUGCCUGAUGACCAUUUGUUCCCAUCAGCUCCUCCUGGGGAAACCCAGCACCUGGGUGAAGCUUUGCUUUAUAAUGGGUGUUGGCAAUGUGAAUAUUGGGGAUUCGAGGCUUUGUCACCAUCUUGGUGAUAAUAAUAAUCGUGAUAACAAUAGUAACAACAAUAGAAACUGAGGUGGAUCCAGGUAGCUUCAUCCAGCUGUCUGGCUUGCUACAGCCACAAUGGUUGGGGUGAGCAAGGGUGAGCAGAGCACCCAUGGCAGUGUUCCCUCUGUGGGGAUGGCAGAAGAAUGAGGGGUUUAUCCAUCAUCUGGGAACCAGAAAACAUGCUUGGGCUUGGUUUCAUCCCACCUGGCACGCUGGUGGAUCCCUGGCAGGGAUCCUCUGACCAUAAUGGAAAGCAUGCAUAACACAUGAUCGAAAUCUGGAGAUUUACACCCAUUUUGCUUCCUGUGAGAGCACAAACCAGAAGAUAGCCAAGGGAGUCAACCCUAUUCUUUAUCCCUCUCCCGUGAUUCUUACAGCUGAUGGACAACCUUCACAGCCCAAAUGCAUGGUUUGGUGAUGGAGACACACCACCAGGACCCCAAUGCUUUCCCAUGUCAGUGUUUGGGGAGCACAGUGUUGCUGAGCCCUGUGCGGGCUGGCGUGCAAAGCGGCGGGGAUUAGGGCUGGAACUCACAGCAUUUGGGCCAUUGUGCAAUGCCGGGCAGCUGGAGGGUUUCACUUUUCAGAGGGGAAAAGAAAAUAUGAAAAACUAGAACCAGAAAAC